GGGCACUCUGUGGAGACUGCCGGUGUCAAACCGGAGGAAGGUGGGAUGACGUCAAGUCCUCAUGGCCCUUAUGACCAGGGCUACACACGUGCUACAAUGGCCGGUACAAAGAGUUGCGAUACCGCGAGGUGGAGCUAAUCUACAUAAAGCCGGUCUCAGUUCGGAUUGGAGUCUGCAACUCGACUCCAUGAAGUUGGAAUCGCUAGUAAUCGCGGAUCAGCAUGCCGCGGUGAAUACGUUCCCGGGCCUU
rnacentral:rRNA from 1 species